rnacentral:tRNA from 1 species
GCGGUUGUGGCGGAACGGCAGACGCGCUACCCUCAGGAGGUAGUGUCCUUGACGUGUGGGUUCAAAUCCCAUCAACCGCACCA